CUUGUAGGCGGCUUGUCGCGUCUGCUGUGAAAACCCGGGGCUUAACCCCGGGCUUGCAGUGGGUACGGGCAGGCUAGAGUGUGGUAGGGGAGACUGGAAUUCCUGGUGUAGCGGUGGAAUGCGCAGAUAUCAGGAGGAACACCGAUGGCGAAGGCAGGUCUCUGGGCCAUUACUGACGCUGAGAAGCGAAAGCGUGGGGAGCGAACA
rnacentral:rRNA from 1 species